CUCACGGCCAUUUUGAAUCACUGGUUCCCAUAUAAUCACUGAAGCUAAGCAAUAUCGAGUCUGGUCAGUACUUAGAUAGGUGACUGCUUGGGAAUACCAGGUGCUGUAA